GCCACGGUGGUCUAGCGGUUAGAACGCUGGCCUUGUAAUCCUGGGGUCUCGGGUUCGAUUCCCGGCGGUGACC
rfam:Zootermopsis nevadensis contig2027, whole genome shotgun sequence.